rnacentral:lncRNA from 1 species
AUUUGGCCUGCGUCAUUGCCCUUGCCAGUACUGGAAAUUUGAUCUUCAAUUCUAACAGAAGCUUUUUGUUUCAAAAAAAUCUAACAGAAGCUUACUCAGCUUGAUUUUCAGGACGGAUUCAGUGAUAAACUUGGUAAACUUCUGAACCCCAUAGUUAAGUACUGUGAGGCUGUUGUUUUCACGGUUUCAAGUUUUUAACCCAUCAGUUUGGCCUAGGCAAAAGAUGCCUUCGAACCCAAAUC